rnacentral:rRNA from 1 species
AGUCGAGGGGUAAGAGUCAGCUUGCUGACUACACGACCGGCGCACGGGUGAGUAACGCGUAUGCAACCUACCUUUAACAGAGGAAUAGCCCCGAGAAAUCGGGAUUAAUACCACAUAACAUUAUGAUAUGGCAUCAUAUUAUAAUUAAAACUCUGGUGGUUAAAGAUGGGCAUGCGUGACAUUAGCUUGUUGGUGAGGUAACUGCUCACCAAGGCAACGAUGUCUAGGGGUUCUGAGAGGAUGAUCCCCCACACUGGUACUGAGACACGGACCAGACUCCUACGGGAGGCAGCAGUAAGGAAUAUUGCGCAAUGGAGGAAACUCUGACGCAGCCAUGCCGCGUGCAGGAUUGAAGGCCUUAUGGGUCGUAAACUGCUUUUAUUUAGGAAUAAACUUUCGUACGUGUACGAAACUGAAGGUACUAAACGAAUAAGCACCGGCUAACUCCGUGCCAGCAGCCGCGGUAAUACGGAGGGUGCAAGCGUUAUCCGGAUUUAUUGGGUUUAAAGGGUGCGCAGGCGGACCAAUUAGUCAGUGGUGAAAUCCCGAGGCUCAACCUCGGAACUGCCAUUGAUACUGUUGGUCUUGAAUACGGUUGAAGUAGGCGGAAUGUAGCAUGUAGCGGUGAAAUGCAUAGAGAUGCUACAGAACACCGAUCGCGAAGGCAGCUUACUAAACCGAUAUUGACGCUCAGGCACGAAAGCGUGGGGAGCGAACAGGAUUAGAUACCCUGGUAGUCCACGCCGUAAACUAUGAUCACUCGUUGUUGGCAAUACACAGUCAGUGGCC